rfam:Synechococcus sp. PCC 7335 scf_1103496006895 genomic scaffold, whole genome shotgun sequence.
GGGGCUGAAACGGUUUCGACGUUUUAACGAAAGUCGUGUUGUGAUACAGGUCAAGAGUGAGUCUACUCUUGUAAAUAAAGGCUCAAACUUAAAGAUACAUGCAAACAACAUCGUACCUUUUGCUCGUAAGCGCGCUCUUGUAGCUGCUGCCUAAUAACCUCUUAUAGGUUCGAGCGUCUGAGCUGUGACUCCGUUAAGCAGUAAGGACUAAACCCCCAACGGGUGCUCUGGCAAACUUUCUUCGAUGGGUGCGCCAGCUAAGACUUUCAUCGAAGCAUCCUGUUUCCGGGACAAUGGAAAACUCCCGCCCUGAGGGUUAGAGGGGCUAUACCUGUGAGUGAGCGACACGUGAUUACUUAGAGCGGACACGGGUUCGACUCCCGUCAGCUCCAUCC